GUUCGGACUGGAGUCUGCAACCCGACUCCACGAAGUUGGAUUCGCUAGUAAUCGCGCAUCAGCCAUGGCGCGGUGAAUACGUUCCCGGGCCUUGUACACACCGCCCGUCAAGCCAUGGGAGCCGGGGGCGCCUGAAGUCCGGGACCGCGAGGACCGGCCUAGGGCGAAACUGGUAACUGGGGCUAAGUCGUAACAAGGUACC
rnacentral:rRNA from 1 species